rnacentral:rRNA from 1 species
GAUGAACGCUAGCGAUAGGCCUAACACAUGCAAGUCGAGGGGCAUCACAUGAAGUAGCAAUACGGAUGGUGGCGACCGGCGCACGGGUGAGUAACACGUAUGCAACCUGCCUUCAACAAGGGGAUAACCCGUUGAAAGACGGACUAAUACCCUAUAACACAGGGGUCCCGCAUGGGAAUAUUUGUUAAAGGACAACCGGUUGAAGAUGGGCAUGCGUUCCAUUAGCUAGUUGGAGAGGUAACGGCUCCCCAAGUCAACGAUCAUUAGGGGUUCUGAGAGGAAGGUCCCCCACACUGGUACUGAGACACGGACCAGACUCCUACGGGAGGCAGCAGUGAGGAAUAUUGGUCAAUGGGCGAGAGCCUGAACCAGCCAAGUCGCGUGCAGGAAGAAUGUCCUAUGGAUUGUAAACUGCUUUUGCAGGGGAAUAAAGUGAGCCACGUGU